rnacentral:rRNA from 1 species
UACGGAGGGGGCGAGCGUUAUUCGGAAUUAUUGGGCGUAAAGGGCGCGUAGGCGGCCUUGUAAGUCAAAGGUGAAAUCCCUCGGCUCAACUGAGGAACUGCCUUUGAAACUGCAAGGCUUGAGGCCGGGAGGGGGUAGCGGAAUUCUCAAUGUAGCGGUGAAAUGCGUAGAUAUUGGGAGGAACACCAGUGGCGAAGGCGGCUACCUGGACCGGUUCUGACGCUGAGGCGCGAAAGCGUGGGUAGCAAACAGG